AAGACUUUAAAUAGUCCCCAGGUAACCAAAUGAUACUGCCACGUGCCUGAAUUAAUGCUUAAUAUCAUUGUUAUCGCUCUCGUAUGUGCUAAUGCUUUAAUGCAAUGAAUGGUGGAACAUUUUGGUUAACAGUUAUUUCUGUGGAAUUUUAUCCUUGUUCCUGAAAGGAUUAUUUCUUCCUCGCUUGGUGGUUAUUACUUAUCAGUCUUCUUAUUGUUUGCUAUUUCUUCAAUUAUUUAUGCCCUUAG
rnacentral:misc_RNA from 1 species